rnacentral:rRNA from 1 species
AACGCGAAGAACCUUACCUGGGCUCGAACGGCUCACGAACCUCCUUGGAAACAGGGAUUUCCCCUUAAAAGGACGGGAGUCGAGGUGCUGCAUGGCUGUCGUCAGCUCGUGUCGUGAGAUGUUGGGUUAAGUCCCGCAACGAGCGCAACCCUUGUCCUGUGUUGCCAUCAUUCAGUUGGGAACUCGCAGGAGACCGCCAGCGAUAAGCUGGAGGAAGGUGGGGAUGACGUCAAGUCCUCAUGGCCUUUAUGUCCAGGGCUACACACGUGCUACAAUGGCCGGUACAAUGCGCUGCUAAGUCGCAAGACGGAGCCAAUCGCAAAAAACCGGUCUCAGUUCGGAUUGCAGGCUGCAACUCGCCUGCAUGAAGCUGGAAUCGCUAGUAAUGGCAUAUCAGAACGAUGCCGUGAAUACGUUCCCGGGCCUUGUA